UGUCUGCAUAUCAGAAACUGUCACUCACACGUCUCUAUCUCAAACAGACCCUGGUACAGUCAGGCGAGGCCAUGCACUGUCCCCAGUGUGGCAUCAUCGUGCAGAAGAGGGAUGGAUGUGAUUGGCUGCGCUGCACCGUCUGUCACUCUGAGAUCUGCUGGGUGACCAGAGGGCCUCGCUGGGGGCCGGGGGGUCCUGGAGACACCAGCGGGGGAUGUCGCUGCAACGUCGACAAUCAGAAAUGUCAUCCUAAAUGUCAGAACUGCCACUGAGAAACCUGAGAGGUCAGAUUAUAAAAUGUACUGAGAUAUACACCUUUAAAUAAAGUAUUCUCUAAAAUAGGGAAAAGAGGAUUAAGCUUAAAGGAAAAGUGUAUUCAAGCAGGUUCCUCGUAUUAUAACUGGACACCAUUUUUAACCACUUUUCAGUGCCACUAGAUUAACUUAAUUUUUUAAUUAAAACUUUUAAGUUAUACGUUGAUAUAUAUAUUUUUAAAAGAUCACUUCUGACUUUAAAAUGUUUGCACUGCAAGUGAAGCAAUACAGGUGUGUCCUUUUCUGUUUUGGAAGCAGUUACAAUGCAUUACAUUAAAGGGACGGUUUGGAGUUAUGAAGUGGCGUUGUAUGUUGGUGCUUCUCCAUAUUCACUUUAGUAGAGAAAGAGACUGAUAUUGAUUUUAUAUGUUUUUGUUUCAGCAGUUCAUUACUUAGCUUCCUGUUUGUACUCCUGUCUGUUACCCAAACUGCAUGCUGUCAGUAAUACACUGACUGUGGAUAAGCACCUCAUAAGACCCACAUAAAAACAUCCAAACAUCUAAACUAAACUGAAACUAACUGUGGCCUUAUUCUUGUGUACAAAAGCUGUUUCAGGGUGUUUCUGACGACGUGUUCUGACUAAAUCUAUCUUGUGUCCUUGACGUGCAAUUUUCACCAUAGAGGUAUUCAAACAAAGUGAAUAGAGUUAUAUAUUGUUACAUUUUUUGUGUCUGACUGCAUGUGUCCUUUGUCACCAAAGAAGUUUGAAAUGUGUUUGAUUGUUAAUGUUUGAGUGGAAGCAGGCUGUUUUGGUGCUGAGGUACUGAGUGUUAUAUUCGGAUAUUAUUAAUAAAUAGAAGUUAAUAGUCCGAUGUAUUGCAAUACUUGAAAACAUUUCUGAAAAGGCAGAUUUAUUCAUUUUGUCGGGCAGCUUAAUAGAUCGGCUGCAUGUUAGCCACCACACUUACAGCUUUAUUAAACGUUUAAAAGCUUUGUACCCAUGGUAGUAUUUUGAAUAUGUUCUAUUUCAACUAUGCAUGUUAUUCUGAUUGAAUCCUUCCCCUCCACUACACUACUGCCCCUCACUGACAAGCCAUGAGAAGUCUCCACUGUUACCUGUGUUCAAACAUCAGCUCUGUGUCGCUGGUGUUCACUUGUGCCUUAAUUAUCAAUAAAUACACUUCCAAACUCA